GGAGGCAUUGCUGGGAGGUGUGUAAAAGCGUUUGUGCGUGCAUGUGUGCGCCUGUGGGGUGUCUACUUGUGGGGGAGAGGUGGAGCAAGAGUCCCACCUGUUGUCAGAGCAUGUUUUAGUUUCUUUGUUGUGGUGUGAUCGCGUCCCCUCAUGGCUCUAGUGUGGAAUUGCAGGUGGUGUUGAAACUUUAAAAUUAGGUUGAUUUCGUAACCUGUCUCAACACACUUUUAGGUAAAUCUCCCUUUUCAAGGCAUCCCUCUCUUGUGAUUAAGCGGUGCACGGACUGUAUUAAUUUGAAAUAUGUUUUGGCUAAUGUUCUCUUUAGUGUGGGGUUUGUGCUGUGAACUGUGUGCAUUUUAAGACUGCUUGCUGCCAUCAUGUCCCUUUGUUGCACUCAAACAUCAAAUCUAUUCUGCAAACUUACCAUUUUUCACCUUUUUUUUUUUUCCUUUUUCUUUUUUAAAUAGUAUUAAUAAAUAUCAGUAAGUAGCACAAUGUUGGGCUCAACUAUUCGGAGUGGUAGAGAACAACAUACACAAUCACAUCAACACUGAAAGACAAUACAGAAAGUUGCCCGGUAUAGAUGAAGCCCAGUCUUACCUCCCUGUCUCUGUUGCAGCACCUGGACCAGGUCUUUGUCGUCCGCGAGAGCCCAGAGCCGGCCCUCAGCAGGUGCGCGUCACUUUCUUCACCGGCAGCGAUUGUAAUCCCUGUUUGUCUAGGGCCGCCUUCUCUGCCUCCUUCAACGUGUGGACCCGUGCCGGUCCGUGCGAUGCUGGUGACGGAUGCGUUGCUGGGAGCACCUGGACCAGGUCUUUGUCGUCCGCGAGAGCCCAGAGCCGGCCCUCAGCAGGUGCGCGUCACUUUCUUCACCGGCAGCGAUUGUAAUCCCUGUUUGUCUAGGGCCGCCUUCUCUGCCUCCUUCAACGUGUGGACCCGUGCCGGUCCGUGCGAUGCUGGUGACGGAUGCGUUGCUGGGAGGUAUGUAAAAAGCCUUACGUAUGCGUGUGUUUGCCUAUAGGGUGUCUAGUUGUGGGGGAGAGGUGGAGCAAGAGUCCCACCUGUUGUCAUGUUAUAGUUGCUUUGUUGUGGUGUGAUGGCAUCCCAUCGUGGCUUCAUUGUGGAAUUGCAGGUAGGCUUAAAAUUUUAAAAUUGGGUACAUUGUACACUGCCUAAAUGCGUG
rnacentral:lncRNA from 1 species